CGGCACAAGUGGACCGUCGGCGACUUGGUGAUCUGGGACAACACCGGAACCAUGCACCGGGCCACGCCGUACGACCCGGCGUCGGGCCGGC
rnacentral:tRNA from 1 species